rnacentral:rRNA from 1 species
CCUACGGGUGGCAGCAGUGAGGAAUAUUGGUCAAUGGGCGCGAGCCUGAACCAGCCAAGUCGCGUGAGGGAAGACGGUCCUAUGGAUUGUAAACCUCUUUUGUCGGGGAGCAAAAGACGCCACGCGUGGCGUUCCGCGAGUACCCGAAGAAAAAGCAUCGGCUAACUCCGUGCCAGCAGCCGCGGUAAUCCGGAGGAUCCGAGCGUUAUCCGGAUUUAUUGGGUUUAAAGGGUGCGCAGUGGGAAGAUCAAGUCAGCGGUAAAAUUGAGAGGCUCAACCUGUGAGAGCCGUUGAAACUGGUAUUCUUGAGUGAGCGAGAGGUAGGCGGAAUGCGUGGUGUAGCGGUGAAAUGCAUAGAUAUCACGAAGAACUCCGAUUGCGAAGGCAGCAUACCGGAGGGCAACUGACGCUCAUGCACGAAAGUGUGGGUAUCGAACAGGAUUAGAUACCCCUGUAGUC